AACCCAUGGUGACGGCAUCUUCUCAAAAGGUCCUUGUAUCUCUCCUAUGUGUCGUAGAGUGUUUCUGAAUCCAUCUGCACAAAAGAAGAGAUAUCAUUACGUAAUUU
rnacentral:snoRNA from 1 species